GGUCCGCUAUAGUGCAGGCUCGACUGAGUGUCUGAGGGAGGCUCCCCGCGGUCUCUGUUCCGUGCUGUGACUUGCCGACCGGACCUGUGAGCAGAGCUGGGCGAGCUCGGAAUCCGCACCAUGUGCUACCUGCCCUGGAUAUAUCUGACUGGAGCCUGUCCUUCCUGUGAUCCUGGUUGUGUCAGAAAUCCUCCGAGUCAAGCUGUCUCUGUGAUCCUGUGAUCCUGAGAUCCUGGGUGUAUCCGAGCUCCUGGGAGUCAAGCUGCCUUUGGGAUCUUGAGAUCCUGGUGUGACCAAGUUCCUGGGGUCCUGGGAUGGUGUGAUCCUGGGUGUGUUAGAGCAACUGGGAAUGGAGCUGCCUCUGGGUAUUGUGGGGCUGGCUGUGGAGUUUGUGCCCAAGGUCUGCUCAGGGCGCCAGCCCAGACAGACUGGAAGGAACCUGUGCCACUGCUCUGGUGGAAUUCCUGCAUGCCUGGGUCCUACUGGACCUAGUUACUCCCGGUGUUGGGGACAGAUGUAGCCUCCUCACCUCUGAUCCUCUGAUCCUGGGCUUGUUGGAGUGCCCGGGAGUGGAGCUGCCUCUAGGUGUUGUGGGGCUCGCUGCAGAGUUUGCGCCCAAGGUCUGCCACAACACAUAAUCUUAACUGUUGUUUUCUUUCUAUAUCUAGUUUUUUGAUCAGCAUUUUCUUUUUUAAUGUUUUUGAGAACUUUUUGAUUUCUCAACCAGUAAUUUAUUAAAAAUACAUUCUUUUGUUGUAGGAGUAUCAUAGUAGUCUCACAGUUUAAACUGGGGCAUUGGAGUUUCAUAGUAGCCAAGUAUAGAACUAUAGUUGUUAUAAGGUCCUCUUAGAUUCAACACAACUCAUACAACAAGUUGAUACAAAAAAGAAAAAUGUAAUCAAGCUGCUUUUGAUCAGGGACACAGAACAGACUUGGGAGCUGACCUGUCAUGGACCCCAAGCCAGAAUGUUACAGAACCUAUAAACUGCAAACAUCUGUGCCAAGUUUCAGUUACAUUUUUCACCCAUCAGAUUUAGGGAUAAUGGACUUCCUUAGGAACAUGUAUUUGUGGUAAAUUUAUCCUGUUCUUUUUGGUUGUUUUAUUCAACUGUGGUUGUGCAACUUGCCUAGCAAUCACAUCUCAACUUGACAACAAGGGAUGUCAGUUACCCACAUAUUUGUAUCUCUCUGCCAAGCAGGAUGUCAGUUCCCCAGGGAGGUCUUGGGAACUUUAUUUGACCCCUAUUUAAAAUGGAAGUUACCCAAAACGGCUUCAGUUCGGUUCCUUCUUACAGACCAGGCUGGCCUUGAAAUCAGAGAUCCAGCUGUCUCUGUCUCUUAAGGUAUGGGAUUAAAGAUGUGAGACAGCAGGAUGGACCAUCAAGAGACUGCCAUAUCCAGGGAUCCAUCCCAUAAUUAGCCUCCAAACGAUGACACCAUUGCAUACACUAGCAAGCGUUUGUUGCAAGGACCGUGAUAUAGCUGUCUCUUGUGAGACUAGGCCGGGGCCUAGCAAACACAGAAGUGGAUGCUCACAGUCAGCUAUUGGAUGGAUCACAGGGCCCCCAAUGGAGGAGCUAGAGAAAGUAUACAAGGAGCUAAAGAGAUCUGCAACCCUGUAGGUGCAACAUUAUGAACUAACCAGUACCCCGGAGCUCUUGACUCUAGCUGCAUAUGUAUCAAAAGAUGGCCUAGUCGGCCAUCACUGGAAAGAGAGGCCCACUGGACAAGCAAACUUUAUAUGCCCCAGUACAGGGGAAUGCCAGGGCCAAAAAAUGGGAAUGGGUGGGUAGGGGAGUGUGGGGGGGGAGGGUGUGGGAGACUUUUGGAAUAGCAUUGGAAAUGUCAUUGAGGAAAAUACGAAAUUAAAAAAAAAGAUGUGAGACAGCAUGCCCUUCUUGUCCAUUCUUAUUUGAAGUUAGUAAUUUUGAUACAGUUUUGUUGAUGUAUACUCAAGUGUUGGCUCUGUUUGCAUGUCUUUCUGUAUCUUUGUUAGUAGUCAUUUGUAUUGCAAUGCCACAUGCUAUUUCUAGGCCCAGAAAAGAGAGACAUCCUCCUCCUCCUCCUCCUCCUCCUCCUCUUCCUCCUCUUCCUCCUCCUCCUUCUUCUUCUUCCCUUUUAAAAUGACUUGGUGAUUGCACUUGAAAUUCUGUGGACAUGAAAUAAAUGUGUGGAACACAAUGAAUUAUGUAAAUAUAUUCCAAAUGAAGUACACAUUA
rnacentral:lncRNA from 1 species